CCUACGGGAGGCUGCAGUCGAGAAUCAUUCACAAUGGGGGAAACCCUGAUGGGGCGACGCCGCGUGGGGGAAUGAAGGUCUUCGGAUUGUAAACCCCUGUCAUGUGGGAGCAAAUUAAAAAGAUAGUACCACAAGAGGAAGAGACGGCUAACUCUGUGCCAGCAGCCGCGGUAAUACAGAGGUCUCAAGCGUUGUUCGGAAUCACUGGGCGUAAAGGGUGCGUAGGCGGUUUCGUAAGUCGUGUGUGAAAGGCGCGGGCUCAACCCGCGGACGGCACAUGAUACUGCGAGACUAGAGUAAUGGAGGGGGAACCGGAAUUCUCGGUGUAGCAGUGAAAUGCGUAGAUAUCGAGAGGAACACUCGUGGCGAAGGCGGGUUCCUGGACAUUAACUGACGCUGAGGCACGAAGGCCAGGGGAGCGAAAGGGAUUAGAUACCCCAGUAGUC
rnacentral:rRNA from 1 species